AACGAACGCUGGCGGCAUGCCUAACACAUGCAAGUCGAACGAGACCUUCGGGUCUAGUGGCGCACGGGUGCGUAACGCGUGGGAACCUGCCCUUAGGUUCGGAAUAACUCCCCGAAAGGGGUGCUAAUACCGGAUAAUGUCUUCGGACCAAAGAUUUAUCGCCUUUGGAUGGGCCCGCGUUGGAUUAGCUAGUUGGUAGGGUAAAAGCCUACCAAGGCGACGAUCCAUAGCUGGUCUGAGAGGAUGAUCAGCCACACUGGGACUGAGACACGGCCCAGACUCCUACGGGAGGCAGCAGUGGGGAAUAUUGGACAAUGGGCGAAAGCCUGAUCCAGCAAUGCCGCGUGAGUGAUGAAGGCCUGAGGGUUGUAAAGCUCUUUUACCCGGGAUGAUGAUGACAGUACCGGGAGAAUAAGCUCCGGCUAACUCCG
rnacentral:rRNA from 1 species